rnacentral:lncRNA from 11 species
CAUGGAUGCAGAAAUCGUGGCUAUGGAGAAUCAACUGUACAUGAGGCAUGAGGAUUUGGAAAAGGACCUCUGCCUCAAUGUCAUCCCAGCUGGGAAACAUCCUGAAUUUGGAAGCCCAAUUACGGGCAUCAUUCUGACACCAGAUCUCAAAGAAAACGACACAUUUCUCAACCAUCUGGAGUUGAGUGUUGUGAAGAAGGAGACUACUGAUCUGAAGAGUCAACCCCAAGAAGAAAAACAAGUGGUCAAGAACCAAGGGAAGGUAUUGUACUAACAAAAGCAAAAAC